rnacentral:rRNA from 1 species
GACGGAGGGUGCAAGCGUUGUUCGGAAUUACUGGGCGUAAAGGGCGCGUAGGCGGUCUGUUAAGUUCGGUGUGAAAGCCCCCGGCUCACCUGGGGAACUGCGCCGGAAACCGACAGACUCGAGUACCGGAGAGGAGGGUGGAAUUCCUGGUGUAGCGGUGAAAUGCGUAGAUAUCUGGAGGAACACCGGUGGCGAAGGCGGCAUCCUGGACCAACACUGACGCUGAGGAGCGAAAGCCAGGGGAGCAAACGGG